CAAUGGGAGCGGCAGACGGGUGAGUAACGCGUGGGGAUCUGCCCAAUGGUACGGAAUAACCCAGGGAAACUUGGAUUAAUACCGUAUGUGCCCUUCGGGGGAAAGAUUUAUCGCCAUUGGAUGAACCCGCGUCGGAUUAGCUAGUUGGUGUGGUAAAGGCGCACCAAGGCGACGAUCCGUAGCUGGUCUGAGAGGAUGAUCAGCCACACUGGGACUGAGACACGGCCCAGACUCCUACGGGAGGCAGCAGUGGGGAAUAUUGGACAAUGGGCGCAAGCCUGAUCCAGCCAUGCCGCGUGUGUGAUGAAGGCCUUAGGGUUGUAAAGCACUUUCGCCGGUGAAGAUAAUGACGGUAACCGGAGAAGAAGCCCCGGCUAACUUCGUGCCAGCAGCCGCGGUAAUACGAAGGGGGCAAGCGUUGCUCGGAAUCACUGGGCGUAAAGCGUACGUAGGCGGGUCGUUAAGUCAGGGGUGAAAUCCUGGAGCUCAACUCCAGAACUGCCCUUGAUACUGGCGAUCUUGAGUUCGAGAGAGGUUGGUGGAACUGCGAGUGUAGAGGUGAAAUUCGUAGAUAUUCGCAAGAACACCAGUGGCG
rnacentral:rRNA from 1 species